GAUGAACGCUGGCGGCGUGCCUAAUACAUGCAAGUCGAGCGAACGGACGAGAAGCUUGCUUCUCUGAUGUUAGCGGCGGACGGGUGAGUAACACGUGGAUAACCUACCUAUAAGACUGGGAUAACUUCGGGAAACCGGAGCUAAUACCGGAUGAUAUUUUGAACCGCAUUGUUCAAAAGUGAAAGACGGUCUUGCUGUCACUUAUAGAUGGAUCCGCGCUGCAUUAGCUAGUUGGUAAGGUAACGGCUUACCAAGGCAACGAUGCAUAGCCGACCUGAGAGGGUGAUCGGCCACACUGGAACUGAGACACGGUCCAGACUCCUACGGGAGGCAGCAGUAGGGAAUCUUCCGCAAUGGGCGAAAGCCUGACGGAGCAACGCCGCGUGAGUGAUGAAGGUCUUCGGAUCGUAAAACUCUGUUAUUAGGGAAGAACAUAUGUGUAAGUAACUGUGCACAUCUUGACGGUACCUAAUCAGAAAGCCACGGCUAACUACGU
rnacentral:rRNA from 1 species